ACGGGAGGCAGCAGUGGGGAAUAUUGCACAAUGGGGGAAACCCUGAUGCAGCGACGCCGCGUGAGUGAAGAAGUAUUUCGGUAUGUAAAACUCUAUCAGCAGGGAAGAAAAUGACGGUACCUGACUAAGAAGCCCCGGCUAACUACGUGCCAGCAGCCGCGGUAAUACGUAGGGGGCAAGCGUUAUCCGGAUUUACUGGGUGUAAAGGGAGCGCAGACGGCAAGGCAAGUCUGAUGUGAAAGGUGGGGGCUCAACCCCCAAACUGCAUUGGAAACUGUCUGGCUAGAGUGCCGGAGAGGUAAGCGGAAUUCCUAGUGUAGCGGUGAAAUGCGUAGAUAUUAGGAGGAACACCAGUGGCGAAGGCGGCUUACUGGACGGUAACUGACGUUGAGGCUCGAAAGCGUGGGGAGCAAACAGGAUUAGAUACCCUGGUA
rnacentral:rRNA from 1 species